CCUCAAGCUAGCGUCACUAGCAAAUGUAAAACCGACACUUGUUUUGACAAUAAAAUUAACCUUUCUCCUGCAAAAACACCCCAAAGAGCUCCUGGCCGGCUAAAAUCAGCAGCGAGGAAUUGCUCCGCUGAAGACACCGGAGCGCUCUGCAUCCGUGGACUGAAAUAUGAUCCUGGAUGAAGCGGAAGAAAAAAAUGGAGAGAGGGAGGCGUGGAUGAGAGACGGAAAGAGGGAGAGAGAAGCGCCUCGACAGACAACAUGCUGGUGAGAAAAUGAGAGACUGCAGGAGAAGCAGCAGAAUUUGGAUGCAUUUCAGUUCAUCUAAAGGCAGAGCGACGAGAAUUCAAGGUUGUAAUCUGUUACCGAGAACAGAUAACCUGCACAAGCACGUUUUCUAGUUUUUGGACUUUUACAUUGCCUUGUUUUUCUUGUAGCAUUCUCUUGAAUACGGAGCUAUGUGAAAAAGAAAUAUUUCAUUUAUCAGAAAUGUUCACUGAAGCCUUUACCAUCAAACAGCGAUGCUUUGAAGCAUGUCAUUAGAAACAAAAUGGCAUUAAAUAAAAAAAUAUAUAUCUUUCACUUUUAGAAUUGCUUUAUUAAAUAGAAAAUCACAACCAUUUAUUGCAUAAUAGGGCUUCAGUGUGUUCUCAAAAGUAAUGACUCCUCAUUCUAAGUUUUGUCACGUUGGAGGAAAGAAUAAUUUGACUUCUUGGUCUUAGUUUGACUCUGUAGAGAAUCAUUAA